rnacentral:rRNA from 1 species
UACAGAGGGUGCAAGCGUUAAUCGGAAUUACUGGGCGUAAAGCGCGCGUAGGUGGUUUGUAAGUCGGAUGUGAAAUCCCCGGGCUCAACCUGGGAAUUGCAUUCGAGACUGCAAGGCUUGGGUGCGGAAGAGGGAAGCGGAAUUUCCGGUGUAGCGGUGAAAUGCGUAGAUAUCGGAAGGAACAUCAGUGGCGAAAGCGGCUUCCUGAUCCAGCACCGACGUUCAGGCACGAAAGCGUGGGGAGCAAACAGG